CCUGUACAGGGGGAUAACACUUAGAAAUAGGUGCUAAUACCGCAUAAGCGCACAGUAUCGCAUGAUACAGUGUGAAAAACUCCGGUGGUACAGGAUGGACCCGCGUCUGAUUAGCUGGUUGGCGGGGUAACGGCCCACCAAGGCGACGAUCAGUAGCCGGCCUGAGAGGGUGAACGGCCACAUUGGGACUGAGACACGGCCCAAACUCCUACGGAAGGCAGCAG
rnacentral:rRNA from 1 species